CAGAGUGUUACAACUCCCUAAACCACUGUGAACAUACCUAUGUUGCUUCGGCGGGAUCGCCCCGUGGCCCCCGCGGCCCGGACUCAGGCGCCCGCCGGAGGCCCUAAACUCCAGUUUUCAACUUGUCUUCUGAGUGGCGCAAGCAAAACAAAAUAAAUCA
rnacentral:misc_RNA from 1 species